rnacentral:lncRNA from 1 species
AAAAUCAAAAUAAAAAAAAUAAAUAGUAUUAAUGGUCCAAAUAAUUAAGAGUCCAUUUACAAUAAACGGCCCAAAAUUGCAAACCCAAUUACAGCCCAAAUAAAUUCAAACCCUAGUAGCCCAAAAUGACCCAAAACUAAACCAAUUUUCAGUCAAAAAAUAAAAAGAAGGGAAGAAACCCUGUCCGCAUGUUCAGCCGCCCUGCUCCUCCACGUUAGCAAGCAUGCGUCUGUGCACGCCUCUGCCAACGCCACCGUUAGCCUCUGCCACCGCCUGUAAAGAGAAAAAGACACGUAAAAGAAGAAAACAAAAUGGCAAUAGAAAACAAAACAAAAACAAACAAAAACGGAUCUUAGCAUUGGCUAUAAAAGCCGAGACGAUUCCUUUGUAUUUUUUUUACGCACACAAGAAACAAAAACAAAAUACGAAAAAAACAGAACUUUGAAAUAAAAGGUGAUUUUUUUUAUAUAUUGGUUAUUUUGAUUUCUUUUAUAUUUUGAUAUUUUCUUUCUAUUUCUUUUUUUUCUUUUAAAAAGGUGAAAUAAUAAAAGAAAAAGGGAACUCAUCUGGUGUUCAGGUUUUCAACAACGUGAACGGCCGAGGAAGCCACCGCCGAGGAUGGGUGGCCGGAAACCAAAAGGUUUCUUCAGUUUUUUGGGUGUUUUUGUUAAUUUUUCAGGGGUUUUGGGCCCGAAUUUAGGAUUAGGAGGGUUGAAAGGGCAAAAGUAGGGACCUUGGCUUUUUUUGGCCACUGCAGACGGCGGCACCGUCCCUAGUGACCGGCGGCCAGCAUGGUGGUUGCUGACCGGACCCCUGGCCAGAUUUUGAAGGGUGAGAGAAAGUUUGAAAGGUUUUUUUAGAUUUUUU